GCAAGGAAUUUUGGGCAAUGGGCGAAAGCCUGACCCAGCGACACCGCGUGAGGGAAUAAGGCCUUCGGGUUGUAAACCUCUUUUCCUGGGGAAGAAUCUCGACGGUACCCAGGGAAUAAGCCUCGGCCAACUACGUGCCAGCAGCCGCGGUAAUACGUAGGAGGCGAACGUUAUUCGGAUUUACUGGGCGUAAAGGGAGCGUAGGCGGUUCCUUAAGUCGGAUGUGAAAUCUUCUGGCUCAAUCGGAAGGCGCCAUUUGAUACUGAGGAACUUGAGAGCAGCAGAGGGAAAUGGAAUCUGCAGUGUAGCGGUGAAAUGCGUAGAUAUUGCAGAGAACACCAGUGGCGAAGGCGGUUUUCCAGGCUGUUUCUGACGCUGAGGCUCGAAAGCGUGGGGAGCGAAGCGGAUUAGAAACCCUGGUAGUCC
rnacentral:rRNA from 1 species